UACAGAGGUCCCAAGCGUUGUUCGGAUUCACUGGGCGUAAAGGGUGCGUAGGUGGUUGGGAAAGUUUGAUGUGAAAGCUCGGAGCUUAACUCCGAAAUGGCAUUGAAUACUUCUUAACUUGAGGGUCGGAGGGGAGACUGGAAUUCUCGGUGUAGCAGUGAAAUGCGUAGAUAUCGUAAGGAAGACCAGUGGCGAAGGCGGGUCUCUGGACAGUUCCUGACACUGAGACACGAAGGCCAGGGGAGCAAACGGG
rnacentral:rRNA from 1 species